UACGUAGGUGGCAAGCGUUGUCCGGAUUUACUGGGCGUAAAGAGCGCGCAGGCGGUCGUCCAAGUCGCGUGUGAAAGCCCCCGGCUCAACUGGGGAGGGUCACGCGAUACUGGUCGACUCGAAGGCAGGAGAGGGUAGUGGAAUUCCCGGUGUAGUGGUGAAAUGCGUAGAUAUCAGGAGGAACACCUAUUGCGAAGGCAGCUCGCUGGGACGUAACUGACGCUGAGACGCGAAAGCGUGGGGAGCAAACAGG
rnacentral:rRNA from 1 species